rnacentral:rRNA from 1 species
UACGUAGGGGGCAAGCGUUGUCCGGAUUUAUUGGGCGUAAAGAGCGUGUAGGCGGCCAGACAGGUCCGUUGUGAAAACUCGAGGCUCAACCUCGAGACGUCGAUGGAAACCGUCUGGCUAGAGUCCGGAAGAGGAGAGUGGAAUUCCUGGUGUAGCGGUGAAAUGCGCAGAUAUCAGGAGGAACACCUGUGGUGUAGACGGCUUUCUGGACCGUAGCUGACGCUGAGACACGAAAGCGUGGGUAGCAAACAGG